CUUUCAGAAAUCUUUUGGAAGUGUACCAUUUCAGAUCUGUGUUCACCAUUAGCCUGGCUGUGUUUGUCCUUAUGUAUUUGAAUAUCAUUAUUUACUAAUUUUUUUAUUCCCAGAAAUUCAAGAAAGAUGUAUCAAUUUUCCUAUGGACAUUUGGUAAACUUCACAUAGUCACCGCCACAUGGCUUGGAAUGAUGUUUUCUAUUGUUUUCAUAUUUUAUCCUGUAUUUCGAUUUUGGUGCAAUACCCGAUUCCUGAUUUGGAAGAGAAGGUUUUACGAUUCAAUAUUUUGCUUUUUCUUCGUUAUUUAUCAAAUGGCGUUUCUGAUCAUACCAGCUAAGAUUGUUCUGAAUUGUAAUAUACCACCAGCUUCCACCUUCAUUGUUAUUUGUGAGCAGCUAAGAUUGAUGAUGAAAACUCACGCAUUUAUGAGAGAGAAUGCUGCCCGUUUAUUGACAUUCAAGCCUCACCAAGGACUGGUGGAACUGCACAUCAUUUGCCAAAUUUUACCGUUCAUGGAAUCUAGUGGUUUAUAAAUGGCUAUACUUUUAUGUCUAUCAAGAUGUGUACGCUAUUCUUGGUAAAAACAAAAUUGGUGCCAUGUAUAUGGUUUUCUUCAUAUCAGCAGUAGCACAUGAAUAUCUUUUAGCCAUGGUUUUUAAAUAUGUAUUUCCUUUACUAUUCUUCUUAUAUAUGACUGUAGGAACUAUGUAUGUGUUUUUAACAAGAAGAGCAACAUCUAUAUUUUGGAAUGCAUUCUUGUGGGGCUCCUUGCUUCAAGGAUGGGGAUUUUUAAUUGUAUUCUAUUGUCUAGAAUGGUAUGCUAGAAUCAAUUGUCCCAGAACUUUAGAUUCUUGGGUGGAUCAUCUUAUGCCUCGCUCAUUCACGUGUAACAUAGUGUCUUUACAAGUCUAAACUAGAAAUUCA